AUGUCACUUUGGUGUCACGUUGGUGUCACGUUGGUGUCACGUUGGUGUCACAUUGGUGUCAUUGGUGUCACUUUGGUGUCACGUUGGUGUCACUUUGGUGUCAUUGGUGUCACUUUGGUCUCACGUUGGUGUCACGUUGCUGUCACUUUGGUGUCACAUUGCUGUCACAUCGCUGUCACUUUGGUGUCACGUUGGUGUCACUUUGGUGCCACAUUGGUGUCACAGUGUCACAUUGGUGUCAUAUAUGUGUCACAAUGGUGUCACAUCGGUGUCACAUUGGUGUCACAUUGUUGUCACAUUGGUGUCCCCGUGUCCCAUCCCCAUCCCCAUGUCCCAUCCUUGUCGCCAUGUCCCACGCUGUCCCCGUGUCCCAUCCUUGUCCCCAUGUCCCAUCCCUGUCCCUGUGUCCCAUCCUUGUCCCUGUGUCCCAUCCCUGUCCCCAUGUCCCAUCCUUGUCCCCAUGUCCCAUCCGUGUCCCCAUGUCCCAUCCUUGUCCCCAUGUCCCACGCUGUCCCCGUGUCCCAUCCCUGUCCCCGUGUCCCAUCCCUGUCCCCAUGUCCCAUCCCCGUCCCCGUGUCCCCAUGUCCCAUCCCUGUCCCCGUGUCCCAUCCUUGUCCCCAUGUCCCACGCUGUCCCCAUGUCCCAUCCCUGUCCCCAUGUCCCAUCCUCGUCCCCGUGUCCCCAUGUCCCAUCCCUGUCCCCAUGUCCCAUCCUCGUCCCCGUGUCCCCAUGUCCCAUCCCUGUCCCCAUGUCCCAUCCCUGUCCCCAUGUCCCGUUCUUGUCCCCAUGUCCCAUCCCUGUCCCCAUGUCCCAUCCCUGUCCCCAUGUCCCAUCCUCGUCCCCGUGUCCCCAUGUCCCAUCCCUGUCCCCAUGUCCCAUCCUUGUCCCCAUGUCCCAUCCUUGUCCCCAUGUCCCCCCCUUGUCCCCAUGUCCCAUCCCUGUCCCCGUGUCCCAUCCCUGUCCCCGUGUCCCAUCCCUGUCCCCGUGUCCCAUCCCUGUCCCCAUGUCCCAUCCCUGUCCCCGUGUCCCAUCCCUGUCCCCAUGUCCCAUCCCUGUCCC
rnacentral:lncRNA from 1 species